CUACUCUUGGACAGCCUUCUGAAAGGAAGAUUAAUACAAGAUGGCAUCAUGAGUCCGCAUGUUCACAUGAUUAAAGGUAUUCCGGUAGACGAUGGGGAUGCGUUCCAUUAGAUAGUAGGCGGGGUAACGGCCCACCUAGUCUUCGAUGGAUAGGGGUUCUGAGAGGAAGGUCCCCCACAUUGGAACUGAGACACGGUCCAAACUCCUACGGGAGGCAGCAGUGAGGAAUAUUGGUCAAUGGGCGCAGGCCUGAACCAGCCAAGUAGCGUGAAGGAUGACUGCCCUAUGGGUUGUAAACUUCUUUUAUAAAGGAAUAAAGUCGGGUAUGCAUACCCGUUUGCAUGUACUUUAUGAAUAAGGAUCGGCUAACUCCGUGCCAGCAGCCGCGGUAAUACGGAGGAUCCGAGCGUUAUCCGGAUUUAUUGGGUUUAAAGGGAGCGUAGAUGGAUGUUUAAGUCAGUUGUGAAAGUUUGCGGCUCAACCGUAAAAUUGCAGUUGAUACUGGAUAUCUUGAGUGCAGUUGAGGCAGGCGGAAUUCGUGGUGUAGCGGUGAAAUGCUUAGAUAUCACGAAGAACUCCGAUUGCGAAGGCAGCCUGCUAAGCUGCAACUGACAUUGAGGCUCGAAAGUGUGGGUAUCAAACAGGAUUAGAUACCCUGGUAGUCCACACGGUAAACGAUGAAUACUCGCUGUUUGCGAUAUACGGCAAGCGGCCAAGCGAAAGCGUUAAGUAUUCCACCUGGGGAGUACGCCGGCAACGGUGAAACUCAAAGGAAUUGACGGGGGCCCGCACAAGCGGAGGAACAUGUGGUUUAAUUCGAUGAUACGCGAGGAACCUUACCCGGGCUUAAAUUGCAGAUGAAUUACGGUGAAAGCCGUAAGCCGCAAGGCAUCUGUGAAGGUGCUGCAUGGUUGUCGUCAGCUCGUGCCGUGAGGUGUCGGCUUAAGUGCCAUAACGAGCGCAACCCUUGUUGUCAGUUACUAACAGGUUCCGCUGAGGACUCUGACAAGACUGCCAUCGUAAGAUGUGAGGAAGGUGGGGAUGACGUCAAAUCAGCACGGCCCUUACGUCCGGGGCUACACACGUGUUACAAUGGGGGGUACAGAGGGCCGCUACCACGCGAGUGGAUGCCAAUCCCAAAAACCUCUCUCAGUUCGGACUGGAGUCUGCAACCCGACUCCACGAAGCUGGAUUCGCUAGUAAUCGCGCAUCAGCCACGGCGCGGUGAAUACGUUCCCGGGCCUUGUACACACCGCCCGUCAAGCCAUGGGAGCCGGGGGUACCUGAAGUGCGUAACCGCGAGGAGCGCCCUAGGGUAAAACUGGUGACUGGGGCUAAGUCGUAACAAGGUAGCCGUACCGGAAGGUGCGGCUG
rnacentral:rRNA from 1 species